GGAGAGCUGUCCGAGUGGCUUAAGGAGCAUGAUUGGAAAUCAUGUGUGCGGUGAACUCCGUACCCAGGGUUCAAAUCCCUGGCUCUCCG
rnacentral:tRNA from 1 species